GAAACUCAGGCGGCAGGCGGGCGGGCCUGCAGGAGGAGGAGCCCGUGUGCAAGUGUGCUUACCCCAGGGAACCCGCAAUCGCGUGCACCGGGAUCUCUGCGUACUCGCCAGACCUGGCCCGGUAACUUCGGAUACGCGAUCUUUUUUAUCUUCAAUUUUAAGACUGGAAAUACCCACAAUUGCUGUACCUUCUGCUCUGAGAGCCAGCAGCAGAUAACUCCCUUGCUGAGGCUGUCCCCAGAGGGUAAGGAGACAGCGAUGACAUUUACUGCACCUCUGUUAAUUACCAGACGCAUCGUUAAGAACUGAAAAUAAUUUUAUCCACACAAUGUUCUUUUGUGCCUCUACGUUUAAUCCCAAUUCUAUAGGGUAAAAUGUUAAAUUUUUAUUUUAUCAAAGAGGUUAUGACCUACUCAGAGCCACAAAUUGUUAAAUGCUGAAAGCAAGAUUCUAACGGGACCUCUGACCAGUCCCACCCUUAGUGGAAAAUAGCAGAUCCGUUGCAAUUAGCACACCAGGUGGCCAUGAAGGUACAGAUGUUCGAGGAACAAACACAGCCUAAGCCGAGGCUGGUUUGAAGGCUCUGAGAUUGCGCACACACACACACGAAAUGCUUGCUAGCUCCUUACAGAUGAAUCUCAUAUGUGCAGGCUCUCGGCAGAGGCACAGGGGGAUGUGCUAGCUGCUGGGCUAUUCGGAAUGAGGUUUCCACAUGUGCUUGUUCUGAAAGUGGUCCCCCAACCCCAGCACUGGACAAAGGUGACAGACAGUUACCCCUAACCCAAAGCUACCAGGACUUUAUGAAAUCUGUAUUCGGUUUUGUUGUGGUUACAACAUAAGAUAUGCAAGUAUGUCUGCCUAUAGUGUGUGUGUGUGUGUGUGUGUGUGUGUGUGUGUGUGUGUGUGUGUGCGUGUGUGUGUGUGUCUAGCAUGAGCCAUCCACAGUUGUUGAUAAUAAGCCAGUGUUUCCAUGUUUGGAAAUAGAAAAUGGUAUGGUGCCCAGGGCAACACAUGGCCUCUUGAUCAGUAGUUGAGGUAGACGUGGCAUUUGCACACAUCAUGGACAAAUACAUUUAGUCUCCAAUAUAUUUGCAAACGCAUCAAUCGUGUGACCAGCUUCUUCUGUCUGCUUGGUUGUCUCCAAAGACCAGGAAAAUAAAAAACUGGGGAAGGGGGGAGGUUGAAAAGAGAAUGUUACAAAAUGUGAUAGUUUUUGAUCAACAUAUUAUACCUGUAGAGUUCCAGGAAACAAACUGCAUUUGUUUCUAGUGGUGAUUAGCAAACAGCUCCUUAUAGCCAGGUGACUUUUGUUUUGUUCGAGUCCUGCUUGUUCAGAGAAGCAAGUGAUUGGCAUCUGUACCAUAACAGAACAGACUAAGGUCAAUCUUAGACGGGAGAUACCUGGAUAAUGCAAGAACCCAUUGCAACUCUUAUUGGGGCUCUUCCCACCCCUAUCCCUGGUUUCUCCUUACCUUCCAGAAUAGUUCAGGGAGUCUACCAGGAGGUAGACUGAGUGAGGUAGGCAUCCCUACCUGUGAAGCAGCACCCCACAGCAACCCAGGAAGGGGGUUUGGAGGUGGACAGCAAAGAGGGGGCUGCCCACCAUCCAUGUCAGAACCUACGCUAGUUCAAGAAUCCACUCCUACAUAAAGUGGAUGCAGCUUGGCUGGCCCUCAGAGCGUAGAGGACUGGAGUGAGCAGUUAGAGAGGUGUGCCUGUAUAUGUGUGCACACAUCCCCUAGCUUGGCCCACUGAGAGUGCACGGAUGGCUGACACUCAGAGGCAUGUCUAGCACACUGCUUCUAGUUAUUAUUCUCAAACAAAGGAAACCAGAGAUGCUUAGGGAAAUGGUGCUUCCCAGAUUGGGGCAAAGAAAAGCAAAAGGGGGGACCCCUUUCUGCCAAAAGACAAAUGCUCAAAGAAUGGGAGGGGGUCAGAAAAUGAUUUUACCAAUGCAAGUGAAUAACUGAGUAAACUGGGACUAGGGGGAGGUUUUAGGUAUUUACACAGUGACAAAGGACUUUCCCUCGAGUAUACAGCAGUUACCAGCAAUAUUCUUCAUGUAAUUUCACACUCUGGCUGCAGAUAAUGUAAGUAAUGUAAACACUAAGUAGUCAGAAAGAAGUGUCCUUCCAGCGGCAGCGGAGGUCAUCGUAGUCUGCAAAGUCGCAAUCACACCAAGGAACAGAAUAUAACAAGACAUGGUGAACAGAAAGGGACACAGCUCCCUCCUGCUAGUCUCCUGUCACUGACCUUUGACCUGACUGCUCCCCAAGAAGCGUCUGAGUAACCCAAAGUGACAGAUGUUCUGCAAAUCAGCCAGCUGUCUUCAUUAAUCUAGUCGAGGUCGUGAAAAUCCAAGGUAUGUGGAACAGUUCCAGGCUGGCAGGGACAUGGUGGUGAAGAGAAGCCACGUGUCCUGAAUUGGAACAACUGGUAACGCCUGGGAGGGAAGAGACAUCAUCUGGAAAGCAUUCCUCUUGCUGGGGGUGGUGGCACACAUCUGUAAUGCCAACACCUGAGAAGCAGAAGUAGAGAGAUUGCUUCAAGGUAAAGGUCAGCCUGGUAUACAGAGUUAGACUUUGCCUCAGAAAGGAGGGAACGAGAACCUGCCCUUAUAUGGUACAGAAAAAGGCUUGAAGUACAGCUUUCCCAUGGGCAUUAUAUUGUUUCAGAUUUUUAAAUAUAAAACAAAAUUAUGAAGUACUAGAUCCUUUUCUGAAGAUUGCUAAUACAAUUGUUUUGGUUUUUUUCCGUGCGAGGGAGGGAAGAAUUUAAGUUCAAACCACAAUAAUACUUGUUCCUCAGGAGCUUUUCCUGAGGCUGGUCCAUGCUGCCUACUUGGAGUAAUUUUGGUCUUACCAAAGUCCCCACUGGCAGAAUAUCUAGCUUUUUGUAAAGUUAAAUUACGAGAGAGAGAGAGAGAGAGAGAGAGAGAGAUAUCAUUGCCUAACCACCUCACUCAAAAACUUGUCACAGAAGAAAUUGUUGACUGACUCAGUCUCCUCCCUGAUGGGGAAAGUUCCUUCAGUGACAGGUCAUGUCCAGAGGCCAGGACAACAAUGCCCAUAAAAGGGAUAGACACUGUCACAUGGAGUAAGAAAGUUUUGUUUUUUGUUUUGUUUUGUUUUUAAAAAGCAGUAGCUAAUACAGUUUUAGUAAUUCUUUACCAUGAUCACGUCUGUAUGCUCCAUCAUGUGACCCCCCCAUCUCCACAGCUUCUUCCCUACUUCCCUCUCUAGAUGUUGACAUGUCUGCACUCUGCUGUGGUCUGCAUAGAGCCAAGAAUAAAUAAUAAUCUUCUCAAGAUGUGAGUUUGAUCUCCCUCAGCAGAGCCGUAGUCCCCGAGAAGGAGGUAGGUGGUGCUGAAGCAGACACACAGAACCUUAAGUUUCAUUUUCCUAGCUAAAGGCUCAGAAGACAAAAAAAAAAAAAAAAAAAAAACAAACGCAGCCAGUGGUGGGGAAAAGAAAGUGUCUGUUACCUGCUCAGCCCUUCUCUGUCCUCAGCCAACGUAUUGCUUCUUCACUGGAGGGCCCUUCAAACUUAUUGCUAAGUGUCUUACUUUGGAAAAUAGGUUUUGCACGUCGGGGAAAAGGAAAUAUUUCAAUGACCCCAGCGUGACUCUUACUCGGUAUUCGCAAUAUUUUGGGUACAGCCCUUUAAAUGUUUCUCAGCCUUGAACACAGGCAUACCAAACACACCACACACAAAUCUAUAUAUUUCUUUUUCCUAUUUCCUGGAUCACUUAGUUGUAAAUUACAGACUGCAGAUUGUUCAGCUCUGACCAAUUCACUGUGUACCUAUCUCCUAGAAUCGAAGACACUUUAUUAUGUAACCUGGUACAAUUUUCAUAAAAUUCGGAGAGUUUCUAAAGUCUUGUCAAGAUCAUAGGCCCUUGCUCCUCCUCCUCUUUUCCUAACUCUUGGCGUCUACUCAUGUGAUGUCCACGUCUAUAAUUUUGUUACUUCAAGCAUGUCUGUGAAGGAGAUUUACUAAAAAAAUGUCUCAGGGACUGGUCAGCUGGGUAGAAGUUUCAUGAAAUGGAGAGACCGAAAUGUUGCAGAUCCAGAGACAAAUUAUACUUAUUUGCCUAGCUUUAGCUCCCCUAAAUAACCAUCUCCCUGCCCACCUCUGUGUAGGAAUUUAAGUCUGUGAUUAACAGAACUUUUGGAACUUAGUAACUUACGAGACCACUAGGUUCCACCAAUCCAAAAGCUAAAAAUGUCAUUAGAUAGUGUCUCAGACCUGUCUUACUUUAGCCUCUUCUCUGAUGUACCCACCACUAUUUUAAAAUUGCUUUGAUUUGUGAGUUUCUUUGUUCUGCUACUAGGAAAGUACUUUCCUGUUGGAACAUGGAACCUGAGGUAACCUAGCUCUGUGUUUCCAUGUCAUUGUCACUCAAAUUUGGCUCCAGAAUAAACUUUUACUUCCUUUGAAGCUAACCUUGUGUUUUUGUGUCAACUAGUUACAUAAACAGAUAAUAGCGCUCUCUCUCGCUCUCUCUCGCUCUCUCUCUCUCUCUCUGUCUCUCUCUCACACACACACACACACACACACACACAAUUCUUUUAUUAUUGAUGAGUAAUAUCAAUAGUUUGUUCCUUUUACUGAGUAGUAUUUCAUGGAUAAAUGUAUUUGUUUAGCCAUCUCGAGUUAUUUCCAUUUUUUAUUGAUUACACAUAAAACCACAAUUUAAAAUUAUGUUAUUUUUCUGCAUGGAGCUUUUCCCCCCUGGGGUAGAUGUUUAGGAUACAAUUGCUGGGUGGCAUAUAGCUCCAUGCUUAAUUUUUUCAGAAGUAUCAAAUUCUUUUCCACACCUGACAACACGGUUUUACAUUCCCAGUAGUCAUGAAUAUGCGAUUUGGUCACUGCCACCCUUCAGGCCUUUGCUGGUGUCACUGUUUCUUAGUUUAACCAAUCUGAUAUUGUGCACAGUGAUGGGCAGAUUUAGCCCUCCACUGCUGCCAGUGGCCUGAGGAGUCUCCCACUUAGGGACCUCCAUUCAUAUAAAGCCAGGCCCUUGACUAUUUUCAGGACAAGUCAGCUAGCGUAUUAAGGAGGAACUAGAGACAGAGCACAGUUCCAGAUUUAAACACAGAGAGAGGGGGAGAUAGAGAGGAGAAAGGGAUAGUGAAGGCACGAGGGGAGAUGACGAGAGAGAGAGAGAGAGAGAGAGAGAGAGAGAGAGAGAGAGGAAGAAGAAGAAGAAGAAGAAGAAGAAGAAGAAGAAGAUAAGAGAAGAAGAAAAGAAGAAGAAGAAGAAAAGAAGAAGAAGAAGAAAAGAAGAAGAAGAAGAAGAAAAGAAGAAGAAGAAGAAAAGAAGAAGAAGAAGAAGAAAAGAAGAAGAAGAAGAAGAAGAAGAAGAAGAAGAAGAAGAAGAAGAAGAAGAAGAAGAAGAAGAAGAAGAAGAAGAAGAAGAAAGGAGAGGAAGAGGGAGGGAGAGGGAGGGGGAGGGGGAGGGAAAGAGCAUCUUUUCAGGUUACUCUGUUCAAAGGAUGUAACCCACACGACUUAAAGAUUAAGCAGGGUGAAAAUCAAGUUUAACAGUUAGAGCUGUUUAAUUUCCUUGAAGAAUUUCCUUUAUAAAUGAGGUCUGACAGUGGUUCUGUGAGGAGACGUUGUUGGAAAUAAGAAAGGAGGUGUGUUGCCGAGGUCGUCUUCUAGACCUCGAGUACAGGCAGCUCCUUUGCUGUUGUGAACAUCCUCGUCUGAGAGUUCUCGCAGAUAACACACAACAUCUCUGUGUCCAAUCUUUGUUUGAUUGGUUACAUUUCUGACUCAGCCAGCAAGAAACGCAGACCGGGUCCCAGUAUGAGCAGCUGUUCUGCCUUCCUGUGUCACCAUCAGUUUUCCUCUAAAGCCUUUUGCUGUUGCUAUGGCUGUCUUGUUCUGUGGCUGGGGUGGCUGCUGUUUGACAUGUGGCCUCAUGUAGCCCUGGGUGGCCUCAAAAAGCGCUGGGUAACAUCCAGGUGGUGGUGGUGGUACAUGCCUUUGAUCUCAGCACUUGAGAAGCAGAGGCAGGUAGAUCUCUGAGUUCAAGGACAGCCUGAUCUACAGAGUGAGUUCCAGGACAGCCAGGGCUACACAGGGAAACCCUGUUAGGGUGGGGGAAUCACUAGGUAACCGAAGAUGGAGAAAAAUCACUAGGCAACAGGAGAUGGAGAAAAAUCACUGGGCAACAGAAGAUGGAGAAAAAUCACUAGGCAACAGAAGAUGGAGAAAAAUCACUAGGUAACAGAAGAUGGAGAAAAAUCACUAGGCAACAGAAGACGGUCUUUACCUCUACCUACUCAUACUCCUACCUCUGCCUCCUAAGUCCCUAGUCACAAGCCAGUUUGAUAAUUAAUCCUUGUAUAUCUGUGCUUUAGCUAGGACUGGGUCAACUUUGUUUUUUUCCUUCCUUCCUUCCUUCCUUCCUUCCUUCCUUCCUUCCUUCCUUCCUUCCUUCUUUCUUUCUUUCUUUCGUUAAUUUUCAACACAUGGUUUCUCUGUGUAACCCUGGAUAGCCUGGAACUUACCAUGUAGACCAGACUGGCUUCUAACUCAAAGAUCCGCCUGCCUCUGCCUCCCAGGCGCUGGUACCUACAUGCACCACCACACCCAGUGAAUAGCCAGUUUUCUUGAAAGAGACCACAAAAGGUCAGGAAACCAAGUAGUUACGCUGAAGAAAAAAAAAAAAAAAAAAAAAAAACUCCACAUUGCAGUCUCUCACACACAAAAAAAGAAUGACGACUCAGAAUUGUGAAGGUUAACAGCUAAACCAACAAACAGGGUGGCACACAAGCCACUGUGAGGACCCCAUAUUUGUCACAACACGGGCUAUCAGGAAACCGAAAGAACAUAAUGAAAUCAUAUUAACUUGGGGUGUACUCUUGGAUAUUUGGGCCAAGUGGAUUUUUUGUUGUUGUUAUGAUGUUUCUUUAAGUUUUAUACUGAGGCUUCAGGGUUCAGUAGGAAAGGAAAAAAGUCAGAAGAACAGGAAAAACCUUGAAUACUCAAUUUCCUUUAGCGUACACCUUUAAAGAAUUGGAGGAGGCUCGAGUACACCGUUGUAAGACAGCGCCCAGAGAGGGGCCGUCCAAGUUCCCUGUGGAUGAGAUUGCAAACUUUACAAAAGGCAGCUCCUGAAAGAGCGGGAGGGGCUGAACAAUCAGCCAGAACGUCUCUCGUUUUCAUAGAAAAAAAAAAAAAAAGAUAAGAUCUUUAUGAGCAAAGAACUGGCCAGCUAAACGUGCUUUGGAACCUAAAAUGCGCUGAUUAAAGAUACUAUCUCCCUGGGUGCCACCUUAAGGCUAAUACAUCUCCCAGCGUGAGAAGGGUUUCUGAGGCCAGGUUGUGGCUUAGGAUUCACGAUUCACACGUAAGGUAGCAACGUAACAUCCGUGCACUGUUUUACCUGGCGCAGGACCAGUGUGUCGGUAAGGAAGUCAUGCUAGAAGCCCUCUAUCGCUGGGGACACCAUACCUCAAGGAGCAGUUCCCUCUCCCAGACCGGACCGGUCUGUCACUUAAGCUAACAGACUUAAUUCCUGGUGCUUCGACUUCUCACAGGGGAUGUUGGGUGCUCCUCGAAGUGGGGGGACGGUAGGAACAUACCCUGCUCCUCACCCCAUGUCCCUUCCCCUGCCUGAGAAUCAGAGGAGCCUGGCUGCAGGCUUCUUACUGCAAAACUAUCCUCAGACAAGUAUACGAAGAUGCAAGGAGUAAAUUACAGGAAUCCAUUUUCUAAGCGCGGUGAGCUUAAAGUCCACUGGAGUUACAGAUCAGCAGGGUGAGCCAAGUGCCCCUUUCUCAGAGCAGAGCCUGAGGGGUUCCCCACUUAGGGACUUCAUCAAGAAAAGCCAGAUGCUUCUGUACCACCGAAAAUAGUUUCAGGACAAGUGACAGGAAAGCAGGCUCAGAGAUGUUUUGGAUUUUGUAGUUUGAUUUGGAUUUUAAUUUAUUGGUUUGUGGCCGGUUUGUAAUUUGGUUUUUUGUUUGGUUGGUUUGGUUUGGUUUUUGGAUUUUUCAAGACAGGGUUUCUCUGUGUAGCCCUGGCUAUUCUGGAACUCACUCUGUAGACCAGGCUGGCCUUGAACUCAAGAGAUCCACCUGCCUCUGCCUCCCAAAUACUGAGGUUAAAGGCAUGCAACACCACUGCCAGGCUGUGUUUGUUGAGUUUUUGUUUGUUUGUUUGUUUGGUUGGUUGGUUGGUUGGUUGGUUGGUUGGUUUUUCUUUGUUUUGUUUAUUUUGUUUUGUUUUAGUUUUGCUUUUCCCCUCCUACCCGCUUCCUCCUCAUCUCCUUCCCACUACUCCAUGGGUUAGUUUAUUAAGCCGAACUAAGAGACAGCACAAGGUUUGAAUAACUGUGAGUAUUUAGAGAGAUCCUUAAGACAGGAGCAGUAUAGUAGAGACCCAACCUUCCUUCAUCUUAGACUUUAAAGCCCUCUUAUUCCAAAGACAGACUAGGUUCCUUCCUGUUCAUGAUCUGACCUGUUUCUCAAGGACUGGGCUAUGCCCCACCUAUAACCUUAACUAAAAAUGGUUCUCUACUGCCUGUUCCAGGAAUGGCAAUCGUGUCUUCAAGAUUCAAACAGUUGUUUGUAACCGUCUUGCAACACUACCUGUUUUUCAGCAGGUUGUUGUUAUGGCCACCUGGCUACCAUGCCUUCGUUUCAGGAGGGUGAUAACCCUGCCUGCUUUACUCUUCAAACCCCACCCCCAGUUGGAAACCCCCUACCUCUGAGCUUUCUUUUUCCUUGUGAGCCAAGCCUUUUAACAGCUAAGCCAUGUCUUCAGCCCACACCUGGGCUUUAUGAAAAGCUUGUCUGCCUCACAUCUGUUGAUGACUGUUUGAACCCCACCUUAGGGAGGGAGACAGCCUGAGUACACAAAUAUCAAAGCCUACUUUGAUUAAUUGCUUGUUUUAAUUAAUUUGACCAGAUGAUUCAGGUCCGUGGUUUUUCUCCAGCACACAGCCAGGCGCCUGUAGCAGUACAAGUCUUUAAUCCUAACACUGGAGCGAUUAGGCAUGAACUGAUCAGGAGUUCAAGACUAGCCUCAGCUGCAGAGCAAUUCAAGGCCAGUCUGGGCAACAUGAGACCCAGUCUCAAAACAUGAGAAGACGGGGAGGGGCAUUUUGGGUGGGGGGAAAGGAAGAAGAAGAAGAAAUAGGAGGAGGAGUGGAGGAGAGAACACACAUGUCCAAAACAGGGUACAAGAGUCUCAAAUGCAUACAUGUGCCCCUGCAUAAACACGAACACACACGCACACACAUAAUUAAUUACAAUUAGGUUAAAAUGGUGGGAGAAGUCUCAUUUCCUCUCCAUCUCGCCUAUGACUUUUAUUCAGUUUAUAGAAAUCUAAGACAGUGGCUACAAGGGAUGAAUGUUUAACUAUCACACAGGCAAACUCUUCCUUGCCUCUGAGGAAGGGGACCUCAGGUCCCAGGUUGUCUUUAAGAUAGCUUCUUAGAUAAAUCCAGGUAGAGGAAAGUGGAGCCUUUGAAAUCCACCAUCUUGAAAAAGAACAGAACUGACUGUGUGAGAUAGAUGAUUCAUACCCAUUCCGAGCCCAGCAGAGUUCUUUAAUGAACAGAGAAGAGAAGCCUUUUGUAUACUCUCUUUGGGGGUCAGCUUCAAGCCUCCUGAAUUCCAGUUAAACUCUGAAACUGGCUGCCUGAAGGAAAGAAUGUCCUAAGGAGCCUUUGUGACUGGCUGGCUGACAUCCCAAAACAGAGAACCCCAGGGAACCGGAAUCUCCCACCCCAAGACUUCCACCCUAGAGAAGGAAAAGCUGAAGCCUGGGGCCAGCCAGAGAAGAGGGCGCUUUGCAGAACCCAACAACUUGCUAAUCCCCUAAAAGAGAGACGGAAACUGAGACAGGUCAGUGGUGGAACCAUACUUGGCCAGGGCUGUUAAGUAUGAGAUUCUCUUACCUUCUACCUAAAGUCUAUCUCCAUGUUAACAUGGGGGUUCUUGGAGGAGCUCUGGAUAUCUAUAUACCUCUUUUCAACGUGCCCACAUUGAAUUAAUCGCCUUUUUCUGUUUGUCACUAUUAAUUUAGCUCCAUUUUUAAAAUUUGUUUUGUUUUAUGUGCAUGUGUCUGUGUGUGUCUGUGUGUGUCUGUGUGUGUGUGUGUGUCUGUGUCUGUGUGUGUGUGUGUCUGUGUGUGUGUGUUCAUAUGUGUGCGCAUGUGUACCAUUGCCCAGAAAGGCCAGAAGAGGGCCUUGGUUCCUCUGAAGCUAGAUUUAUUGGUGGUGGUAAGCUGCCCAAAGUGGAUGCUGGGAACCAACCUUGGGUCCUCUGGAAGAGCAUCACCUGUGGUUAAAAGAGCUCUCUCUAACCCCUCUUCCGUGGUUUUUAUUUGAAUUCCAAGAUGGUAGACUUCUAUCUGGCUUUUUUCAUACCCCCUUCAUUUUGUUUAUUCUAUAAGUUUCUGUUCCUCUAGAGAAUCCUGACCAAAACAAGGACUCAUCAAAUUGCUAACAGAAUCAGCAUGUGCAAAGAAAAGUGAGCGUGCUACUGUCUUCCUUGGUAGCGUCACUAUGGACCCAAAGCUGACGCCUAAACCGGAAGCCUGUAUUUCUCGCUGAGAAAUCAAGAUAGCGCCACAAAGAGACGAACGACAGAGCUUCCUAACAGCUCCUGCCACAGACAUGUGCUCAGACAGCUGUACGGCUGGAGAGUCCACCUCCACGAAGGACAUGUUCUGUGCUGCGCUUCCUACCAGAAACCAAAUUUCCAGAAUCCUUCCUGCAAGAAACCUUCGGAAAACAGGCCUGAAGAGGUAUGCUUUGGAUCCAUAAUCUAACAGGCUCAACCCUGGAAGUCUCACAGGAACUGAAAUAACAGCCUUCCAAUUGCUCCUGAGGUCCUGCGCUGUCAGCAGCAGGGAUGCACUAUACCUCCCAUCCUCUCCUUGGCAAACAGCAGACUCGUUUCUCCUGUGGGCUAUUCCAUGAGGAACUCAGAAGCACAAGAGACUGAAACAGUGGAGAGGGGCCUGGUGUUGGGACCCAUCUGAACUCCACCUUACUGUCCCUAGCACACACCUCUCUGUACCCGUGUCCAUACAGAAUGACCCAAAACUCCAUCUUGAGACUGUUGAAGACCCAGAAGGAGGUGUAUAUUAAAGAUUAGGUACCGUGGGCUGGAGAGAUGGCUCAGCAGUUAGGAGCACUGACUGCUCUUCCAGAGGUCCUGAGUUCAAUUCCCAGCAACCACAUGGUGGCUCACAACCAUCUGUAAUGGGAUCCGACGCCCCCUUCUGGUGUUCUGGUGUGUCUGAAGACAGCUAGAGUGUACUCACAUAUAUAAAACAAAUAAAUCUUCAAAAAAAAAGACUCAUAAAAAAAAA